UGAGAAGUUUUACAGAAAAAUGUGAACGGAAGACAGAACUAGAUAUAAAUUUGAAUGUUUUGAGAAGAAUGCGAAGAAGAAAGGAAGAGUGAGCCUCUCUUUCCCAUCGUUACCCUCCAUUGUCCUCUUGACACCCUGCUUUCACAGAGAAAGAGUUUGAGACCCUCUCCCAGGAGCCAAGGAGAGGGGAACAGCUGGCUUCACAUCAUCUUUCUAUUCAACAAGAUACAAAAAGCUGAAGCCAGGAUGAUAGAAAAGCAACAAAGAAGACACGGUCCUUACUCAUUUCCCUUCCCACUUCAGAGCAAAUGUGAGAAAAGAUUUCAUGCAAUGCUUUAGAGAGGGGAUGCCUCAGACAAUCGGUCAUCAGUGAGGAAGAACUGAAGCAAAACCUGCUGAGCUGUGAGGCUGACUUGCUUCUCAGGCAGCGCUGGGAUGAUGUAUUGUCCUUCCUGACUUGUGACAAAGAGAACUAUUCGGUGCUGGGGUUGAGCUAGGGAUAUGAUAGAUAUCUUUAAUUAUAUGAUAAUCAGAGAUGAGCUAAUUAGAUAUCACUUGAUAACUGAUCAGUGGCAGCAUUCAUAUAACUGUUUCUCAUUUCCUCCUCACAUCAAUUUAACAGAUGGUGCCUGGUGUUCGAAGGGAGAACUUGUGGGCAGAGCAGGAAGCGUGAGUAUGGUUGAAGGAUCAAAUAUUUGGUUCAGGCAUCAGGGAGCCAGCAAGACUAUGAUGCUGGGAAACACAAGUGAUGUACUGUUGGAUUUAAUCUACUUGGAAAAAACCUAGGAAAACCAAAAUGUCAUCAACUAACACCUGAAAUGCCUCAGCACCAUCUGUCUCCAACAUUAAACAAAACCCACGAGAUUCCAGGAGAAAGAAAAUAGGAAAUUUAAUGAUGAACUUAACCUGAGUAACUUGAUAAAUGUUACCUUUGUGGCUAGCCAUUCACCAGCAAGUCCCUAAAAUGACCUGAAACCUGAAGAGUGUUUCACCCAUGAAAGGGUUUGCUCUCUCUGGGCAUGGCUACCCAGCACAUAUGUUAGUCAACUUUCUUUCCCUUGCAGGGCCCCUUGGAAAACUAGUUUGAAUCAUUCAUUAACUCAGCUCCACUCCUUCCCUUUCCCAUGGACCAUAGUUUCUUUGAGCAAUUAAAACUUAUAAGACACCAAAA
ensembl:lncRNA MIR7515HG MIR7515 host gene